GAUUAACGCUGGCGGCGUGCAUAACACAUGCAAGUCGAACGAUGAAACUUAAAUGAUUUCUUCGGAAUGAACUUAAGUGGAUUAGUGGCGGACGGGUGAGUAACGCGCGAGUAACCUGCCUUACACAAGGGGAUAGCCGUUGGAAACGACGAAUAAUACCCUUUGAUGUUUCUAUCUCGCAUGAGAUAUUAACCAAAGUGUUAGCGGUGUAAGAUGGACUUGCGUCUGAUUAGCUAGUUGGUGAGAAAAAAGCCCACCAAGGCGACGAUCAGUAGCCGGCGUGAGAGGGUCAACGUGCGCAUUGGGACUGAGACACGGCCCAGACUGCUACGGGAGGCAGGAGUGGGGAAUUUUGCACAAUGGGGGAAACCCUGAUGCAGCGACGCCGGGUGAUUUAGAAGGCCUUCGAGUUGUAAAAAUCUUUUGUAUAGGAAGAAAAUGACGGUACUAUACGAAGAAGGACCGGCUAAUUACGUG
rnacentral:rRNA from 1 species